rnacentral:tRNA from 1 species
AAGGCUUUGGCUUAAUUAAAGCACCUGUUUUGCAUGCAGGGGAUGUGGGAUAAUAACCUGCAAGUCUUA